CCUACGGGAGGCAGCAGUGGGGAAUAUUGGACAAUGGGCGAAAGCCUGAUCCAGCCAUGCCGCGUGUGUGAAGAAGGCCUUCGGGUUGUAAAGCACUUUCAGUGGGGAAGAAAGCCUUGGGGCUAAUACCCUCGAGGAAGGACAUCACCCACAGAAGAAGCACCGGCUAACUCCGUGCCAGCAGCCGCGGUAAUACGGAGGGUGCGAGCGUUAAUCGGAAUUACUGGGCGUAAAGCGCGCGUAGGCGGUCUGAUAAGCCGGUUGUGAAAGCCCCGGGCUCAACCUGGGAACGGCAUCCGGAACUGUCAGGCUAGAGUGCAGGAGAGGAAGGUAGAAUUCCCGGUGUAGCAGUGAAAUGCGUAGAGAUCGGGAGGAACACCAGUGGCGAAGGCGGCCUUCUGGACUGACACUGACGCUGAGGUGCGAAAGCGUGGGUAGCAAACAGGAUUAGAUACCCCAGUAGUC
rnacentral:rRNA from 1 species